rnacentral:rRNA from 1 species
UGGCGGACGGGUGAGUAACGCGUGGAAAACCUGCCGUAUACUGGGGGAUAACACUUGGAAAUAGGUGCUAAUACCGCAUAAGCGCACAGCUUCGCAUGAAGUGGUGUGAAAAACUCCGGUGGUAUACGAUGGUUCCGCGUCUGAUUAGCUUGUUGGUGGGGUAAUGGCUCACCAAGGCGACGAUCAGUAGCCGGCCUGAGAGGGUGAACGGCCACAUUGGGACUGAGACACGGCCCAAACUCCUACGGAAGGCAGCAG